UUCUCCUGCCUCAGCCUCCCAAGUAGCUAGGAUUACAGGUCUAUGUCUUCAUUUGUAAAGUGCUUUGGUUAUCAACGGCACAUAAUUGGGUCUCACUUCUUCAAUUGAUGUUUACAAUUCCUGGCUUCUAAAUUGAGGUGGGAGAUCACCAUGUGAAGAUGGAGGUGGAGAUGGGAGUGGUGCAUCUGCAUGCCAAGGUGCACCCAGGACUGCUGGCAAAACCAUCAGAAGCUGAGGAGGUGAGGAAGGACCUGCCCAGAGCCUUCAGAAGGGGCACGGCCCCAAUGACACCAUGAUGGCAGACUCCAGCCUCCAGAACUGAGAUCAUCUGUACAGCAGCCCCGGGAAAUUAACACCCCCCAAUGGCCCCAGGCCCCUCAGCUCAGGAAGGAGCCUCCUGGAGUAUUGUAGUGGGGAGAUCCUAUAAGCGCUGAGGCAGGAGCAAAAGGCCUCAGCCUAUUUCCAUAUAAAUAAUGAAGACGAAAGUAACUAGAAAUAUAACCGUAGUAGUUAUUAGUUAUUCAUAUGGGAUCUUAGUUAUUCAUAGGUGAUCUUAAUUCCUUUACUAAUGCCUAUCAGGUCGGAAGUGUGAACCUGGGGUCACAUUGUGAAAUGAAUGACACUAAGGCAAGAUGCUCUAAGCCCUCUGUCACGCCCGCGUUAAGGGCUGCUGGAGGGUGCCUCGGCUAUGCGGCAGCGCUAGUGCUGUGAAAGCGCCCGCUGUUUAGCCAGCAAGGGAAGGAGGUGUCCAAAAUGGCCGUCGCCUUCCUGGGGAAGUUUGGAAAAAACUGUGCUUCUCCAAGCUCUUGUGGUAAGGUAACUCAAUAAUUAAGUGAGAGCAUCCCGGCAUUCGGGGCCACUGCUGGUCUCCGAGAUUUGGGUAGCAGUGGACCCCUGGGCCC